rnacentral:rRNA from 1 species
GAUAAACGCUGGCGGCGUGCCUAAUACAUGCAAGUCGAGCGGUAAGGUUCUGCACUUAGUAUUUGACCCCUGAAAGUCCGGCCUCCCUGCAAGGAAGCCGGAUACUACAGAGAGGAAACGAAUCUCUAGGCUAGAGAUCAUAGUCGAAUGUUGAGUGUAGAAUACACGAGCGGCGGACGGCUGAGUAACACGUAGGAACGU